rnacentral:misc_RNA from 1 species
CAACCCCUAAGCACAGCUUAUUGUUGGGCCUCUACGUUUCGUAGUGCCUCAAAGACAUUGGCGGAGUGGCAGUAGUCCUCUGAGCGUAGUAAUUCUUUAUCUCGCUUUUGUUAGGUGCUGCCCCCCCGGCCGUAAAACCCCCAAUUUUUUCU